CGAGGGGCGGGGCGCGGCCCCGGCUGGCGGCCGGCAGCGGCUCCCGCAUCACUUGAACCCUGCCCGGCGCGGCCACGCCGGCGGGAGGGCGGGCGCCGCCUCACCGGGGCAACGGCCCCGCUCCUGGCACCGCUGUGGGCCCGGGGGCGACGCCCCCUCCCCCCCCGGGGAGAUGCCGCUGGGGUGCUGCGCCGGCAACGCGACCGUUAACGGCCGCGGGGGAGGCCGCGGCCCGCCCGUGACGGCCGCUGGGGGCUCGCGGGGCGCUUCUCCCCCCGCCAGGGGUGGGGGCGGCCAGCGGAGGGAACGGCCGCCUCCGCCGAGGCUGACGACUGCAGCGACUGGGAACAUCCCGUCCUCUUCAGCGGAAUUUUCCUUAAUACAAACUUCAGAAGCUGCUUCGCCAUCCCCAGCAGACAGCUAUUUGCGACUGCAAAGCUCCUGAAACCAUCAGCACAUUUCCAAAAGACAGUAUUUCGGUUUGACCUUCAGAAUAGCUCCAAGAGAAGACAAGGCUUUGAAUAGAUCCAGAAGUAUUACAUGUGGGAUUUUAUGCAAAGCUUAGACAUUGGGCCUUUCAUAAGAUCAAAUUAAAAGCUGUAAUAGGCAUUUAAAAGUAACUCGAUGAUUUUUAAUCUAGAGGCAAAAGAAUUCCAGAGAGAAUAACCUUAUAUUGCUCCCACUUCAGAGAAUACUACUUACAAUAACUGGAUGAUUUGGUUUAUGACUAUUGGUAUUUUAUUCAGUCAUUUUAAUACACUGAAGAUCUGAAAAAUAUAAAAUGCACAAAAACACAUUAAAGCAUCAGUUUGGAUACUACAAUAUGAAUAGCUUAAUAAGUUAUAAAUACUGCUGUCAGUGACAUUUUCUAUGUGAUUCUUUAUAUACAUAUCCACCAUUUUAGCAUCUAACCCUUUUCUAUAGGGCAAAUCCUGAUCUAGCAUUACUGAAGUCAAUGAAAGCCUUGCAGGUGACUUCAGUAAGGGCAAUCAAGGCUUGGAGGGCUGAUACAGAAUGCAUUCCUGCAGAAGGAUCAUAGGCACAAUCCUUUUAACCAUACAGACAAAAAGCACUAGCAAAGCUCUUACUAACUUACUGACCUAAGCUGUUAGGACACUUUCAGGUUGCCAGUUAUUAAGAGGAGAAAUUAAUGCUAGCUAGUACCAUUCCAUUAUUUACAAUCAAUAAGCAUAAAAUUCUGGUUCUUGAACACAGAAUGGAAUAUCAACAGAGAACAGCCACUUUGCCCUCAAGAUCUAGGAUUCUUUCUAGAAAGCAGCCUAUAAAACACACCUUCUUUUAGGACCGCAUUUUAAGGUUUUUUUUUCCUCCUGGCUGUUACGUUUCCCAGCCAUCUUUUCUAUUGUGCUCUGUGCUGCUUUUCCUCUCACAGGAGGGUCAUAUGAAAUUGCUCUGGAUUACAUUUCCUUGUCACUGAUCACAGGGUUUAGCCCUUGGACAGCCUUUUUUCUUGGUUUCACCCAUCACUAAACAAAGGAGCAUCAAUCUGCUCAGCCUAAAUAAAAGUCUGCUACCCUAUCCAACAGUUUCAACAAGAUGCAUGACCAUUUGAUUGACUAACAUCCCUCAUAAUAAUAUUAGCCAAUACAUGACAGGGAGAAAUAUGAAUCAUAAAAGCUGAGACAAAAGAUCAUUUGAUUCCUUCUACUUAGUGCAGAACUAUUUUCAUUACACUAUUGCCAAAUCUGUCUACCAGUCUUAUGAUAAGUCUUACUGUAAGGAGCUUCUGUGACUUUCCUUCAAAACUAUUUCCUUAUAGUCCGGUAAUUUUCCUGAUAUUAAGCAUAUAUUUGAAUAAUUUCAGCCCAUUAUUUUUACUGAUAUCUUACCAAUUCUAAUUUUUCCUAAAUAUUUUUAAGGUGCUUUAUAUUAUAUAGGUACCGAUUUCCUUAUAUCACACUAAAUACAAAAUGAAUGUUAUUUCUUCCUUUGCUUUCACCCCUUACUCUGAAGAGUGACUCUAAGACCAAUAUUUUUGCCUCUGCUUUCAUAGCUUCUAGCUACAUUCACAUUAAAUAUAUACCAGUGUUUGUGCACUCUCCAGAAGCGGUGCCAUCCAGCUUUUAGAACGAGCAUUUGUGUAUCAGCCUCCAAGUAGCAUUCUCCAUAGCUUCAAUUUUACUGAUGGGUAGGCAAAAUAGUUCUGCUUCUGGAGAGGUAACUACUUGGCAUUAGAAGCCCAACUUAUAAGUAAAAAAUGGUACUAUCCCAUAGUUAGUUGAGUUGAUGAAAGGAACAAUGACAUAGCCUGCAGACUUGCUUAUGAAUGGAUAAUUACAAGUUACACAUUCCCACAUGAAAACAUGACGUCAGUUUUAAAGUAUUUUUUAUACAGGAAGUAGUAUGCCCAUGUAAAUACAAUGCACAACUUGUGUCUCAGCAGUCUCACUCCCUUGUCACUACAUAGGCUAUCUGUGACGCACUGACCAAAUACCAUAGCUGCUCUGAAAGUUUUCAGAUUUUUGGUAAAGAUAUAUUUUGUAAGAACAAUAUGUAGCAUGUGUUGCAGACAGGCAGCAGUAAAAAAUCCAUAUAAUUGUAUUAAGUGACAUUUUAAGUACAAUUUAAAUUGUAUAUUACAGAUGAGAGAUUUUUUUCUUGUAUUUGGUAAAGCAAGUGCUGUGCUCACUAUCCCUGAUACUCGGACCAGAUUUCACAGAAGAAUGCUAAAACAACUUAUGCUAAAGUCAAAUAAACUUGUGUAACUAACUAUACAAAUACUGGUAUUAACUGUAAGUUUGAUAAACUGCAGCUAGCCGAUGCUUUUUAGAACACCACUUAGGAUAUGAAGCUUGAUGUAUACCAAGCUCAAAAGGACAGCUAUAUGUAACAAUAUAACAAAUGUGUUUUGGUGGCUAUAACAAGGAAAGUAAAAAUCUUUAACUGCCUUAAUUUUCUUCUCAACCUAAGAUACAUUUAUGUAAGCCUUCCAAUUUAAUAGAUCAAUGCCUUAAUUGUACUAUUGGAAUUGCUACUUGCCUUUAAUUAAUUGGGAGGAAUAAACUCAAUGUCUAUUGUUAAA